CCUACGGGGUGCAGCAGUGGGGAAUAUUGGACAAUGGGCGAAAGCCUGAUCCAGCCAUGCCGCGUGUGUGAAGAAGGCCUUCGGGUUGUAAAGCACUUUCAGUGGGGAAGAAAGCCUUGGGGCUAAUACCCUCGAGGAAGGACAUCACCCACAGAAGAAGCACCGGCUAACUCCGUGCCAGCAGCCGCGGUAAUACGGAGGGUGCGAGCGUUAAUCGGAAUUACUGGGCGUAGAGCGCGCGUAGGCGGUCUGAUAAGCCGGUUGUGAAAGCCCCGGGCUCAACCUGGGAAUGGCAUCCGGAACUGUCAGGCUAGAGUGCAGGAGAGGAAGGUAGAAUUCCCGGUGUAGCGGUGAAAUGCGUAGAGAUCGGGAGGAAUACCAGUGGCGAAGGCGGCCUUCUGGACUGACACUGACGCUGAGGUGCGAAAGCGUGGGUAGCAAACAGGAUUAGAUACCCUUGUAGUC
rnacentral:rRNA from 1 species